AUGUAUGCUGAACCAAAUGCCAAAAUCACGCUUCCCAAGGUGACGUUGUUCCCGCCUUCGAAGAAAGAGUGCACCAACGAGAAGGACAGAGAGACCAAGAAGAAGACGCUGGUCUGCGCCGCCACCGACUUCUACCCCGACCACGUCAGCGUGGCCUGGAUGGUGGACGGGCAGAAGAGGGAAACGGGCGUGGCUACGGACCCCGAGGCCCGGAAGCGAGGGGUCAGAUAUAGCAUCACCAGCAGGCUCAGGGUCCCGGCGGACGAAUGGUCACGCGGGAGCCGGAAGUUCACCUGUGUCGUAACAUUUUUCAAUGGGGAGACAUAUGUCGACGUUCCAGAUUCCAUCAGCGGCAAUGAUGCUGAAGACGGACAGAGUCGAGAGAGCUUUCUGAAGUUGACGCAGAGCGCCAAGCUGUCAUACGGCGUCCUGAUCGCCAAGAGCUGCGUCUACGCCGCCUUUGUGGCCUUCCUGCUGUGGCGGAUCAGGAUGCCGUCUGGAAAAAACCACUAAAGGAGAAAUAUCUUUUAUCUUGUAUUUUUUUGUUGAAUAAAAGUAUUAUUUAGUCACAACAACAA